rnacentral:rRNA from 1 species
AUGCAGCAGCAGCAGCAGCAACAACAGCAGCAGCAACAGCAGAUCAACCUUUCACAUGACCUUGUGGACAAAAGGAAGAUCAUUUCUUGUGCCAUCAGUGAACAUUACAUCCUACAUCUACCUACAUCUAUGGCACCUGAGGGCAUGAUGUUUCUUUCUCAUACCUUGUACAAAUUGCCAGCUAAGUUUUGGUUGUUUUAUUUAUUUUCAGUUCCAUCUUCCAGAUCCGUCUCCGUUGGCUUGAUGGGGACCCGUAAUUGGCAUUGUUGCCUCCUAUGUUUAGAUUUUACAUCAUUUUCUGCAUUUGCUAUGGUUUCAUCUGAUUAUGAUCAAGUGUGGUUGAUUUCUUCAUACAUUUCUAGUACCCUUUUAGUUUAUGGUUUUACUCUCAGCAGAGGAAAAUCUUCUUAG